UGUGACAAUAUUGACAGACUGAGAGCUCUUUCUUGAUCUUAUAGGUGGUGGUGCAUGGCCGUUCUUAGUUGGUGGAGCGAUUUGUCUGGUUAAUUCCGUUAACGAACGAGACCUCAACCUGCUAACUAGCUAUGUGAAGGUAUCCCUCCAUGGCCAACUUCUUAGAGGGACUAUGGCCUUUUAGGCCACGGAAGUUUGAGCCAAUAACAGGUCUGUGAUGCCCUUAGAUGUUCUGGGCCGUACGCGCGCUACACUGAUGUAUUCAAUGAGUAUAUAUCACUGGCCGACAGGCCCGGGAAAUCUUUGAAAUUUCAUCGUGAUGGAGAUAAAUCAUUGCAAUUGUUGGUCUUAAAC
rnacentral:lncRNA from 1 species